rnacentral:rRNA from 1 species
UACGUAGGGGGCAAGCGUUGUCCGGAUUUAUUGGGCGUAAAGAGCUCGUAGGCGGUUUGUCGCGUCUGCUGUGAAAACCUAAGGCUCAACCUUGGGCUUGCAGUGGGUACGGGCAGACUAGAGUGCGGUAGGGGUGACUGGAAUUCCUGGUGUAGCGGUGGAAUGCGCAGAUAUCAGGAGGAACACCGAUGGCGAAGGCAGGUCACUGGGCCGCAACUGACGCUGAGGAGCGAAAAGCAUGGGGGAGCGAACAGG